rnacentral:lncRNA from 10 species
GGGAGAGAAGGCACAGGAGGUGAAAGCUUGCUCGGGCUCAUUAUAUAAAGUAAAAUAGUCACGAAUUCCACUAAUAGAUUUUGGUAUCUGCAUGAGUCCUGGAAUCAAUCCCCCAGAGAUACUGAUGGGAUCUUAACAAUGACAGUAAUUGAUGGUGUGUGAAGAAAAAAGGGAAGAUCAGGAGACUUUAACCUGUGGUAUUCCCAUGUUUAGAAGCAAAAUGGGGAACAAAAAGGAAGCGAAUAACAAUCAGAAAAAUAGGAGGAUAACAAUAGUGUAAUAUCAUGGAUGCCAAAGGAGAGUUUCAAAAAGAAGAAGGCAACCAAUAGUGUCAAAUGUUUCAGACAAUUGUAAAAAUUCAAAAAUAAAAAUAUUUAAAACUUUCAAAAUAAAAUAUCAAAAUAUCAAAAUAAAAUAUCAAAAACUUUCUUGAUGCCAGGCAUUGGUCCAAGAGAUCUUUUUUUGGCAAAUCUUAAUAAAAUAUCUUAUUUAAUCUAAUACGUCCAAAAUACUACCAUGUCAACAUGUACCUAAUAUAAAAAUUAUAGUGUUUUUUUUCCAUACUCAGUCUUUAAAAACUGGUGCUUGUUUUAAACUUUCAGCAUACUCAAUUUGGACUAGCCACAUUUCAAAUGCUUAAUAGUUACAUGUGGGUGGUGGCUACUCUUUUGGACAGAGCAGCACAGAGAGCUGUGGGAGAAUUAAAGGAGGUGGUUCAUCUCUUUUAGGAGAUGCAGAAGAUAAAGUACUCAGCACAGGGCUGGUAGGUGGAAAACACAGAAGUGUUAGCCUCAUCCUUCCCUUACCCUCUCCCGAUAAUGGUUCAUAGUUCUCUGGACCGAAUGUGAGCAAUUCACUCUGCCUUGUAAAACCCUGAAUUCCUCACCUCCUUCUUACUUCUCCAUAAAGUACAAUGAGGGCACUCUCACCACCACCCUGCAGUGACAGUACCAACCUCUAUGGCCUGAGCUGCUGCAAUAGCUCCCCUACAUAGUGCCUUGUCAUCUGCUUCUACUCCCACCAACCCAUUCUCCACUGAGUGGAUGGAAUGCUUUUUUGGGGAGGUGAUAUUUUUAUUGUGGCAAAAUAUACAUAAGAUAGAAUGUACCAUUUUAGCCAUUUUCCAGCAUACAAUUCAGUGGCAUUAGGUACAUUCACGUUGUUGUGCAACCAUCGCCACCAUCCAUUUCCAGAACUUUUUCAUUAUUCCAGACUGAAACUCUGUACCCAUUAAACAGUAACUCCCUACCUCCUCCUCUCCCAGAGCCUUUGGUAACCUCUAUUCUACUUUCUGUCUCUGAAUUUUCCUAUUCUAGGUACUUCACAUACAUGGAAUCAUACAAUAUUUUUCCAUUUUUGUCUGGCUUAUUAUUUCUCUAG